GCCGGUCCGCACGGGAGCCUGGAGAGACCGGGCUGAGAGGGGGUCUGACGACCCCGACCGUCGAACCUGAUCCGGGUAAUGCCGGCGCAGGGAGCGUGAGGUCGUGUUCA
rnacentral:ncRNA from 2 species